rfam:Populus trichocarpa scaffold_12_contig_226, whole genome shotgun sequence.
UAGCAUACGAUGAAGUACUCGGAUUCCCCUUCAAGACAUCAUGGGUGAUGCAAGACCGAGUUUCUGAUGCU